rnacentral:rRNA from 1 species
GAUGAACGCUGGCGGCGUGCCUAAUACAUGCAAGUCGAGCGAACAGAUGAGGAGCUUGCUCCUCUGACGUUAGCGGCGGACGGGUGAGUAACACGUGGAUAACCUACCUAUAAGACUGGGAUAACUUCGGGAAACCGGAGCUAAUACCGGAUAAUAUAUUGAACCGCAUGGUUCAAUAGUGAAAGACGGUUUUGCUGUCACUUAUAGAUGGAUCCGCGCCGCAUUAGCUAGUUGGUAAGGUAACGGCUUACCAAGGCAACGAUGCGUAGCCGACCUGAGAGGGUGAUCGGCCACACUGGAACUUAGACACGGUCCAGACUCCUACGGGAGGCAGCAGUAGGGAAUCUUCCGCAAUGGGCGAAAGCUUGACGGAGCAACGCCGCGUGAGUGAUGAAGGUCUUCGGAUCGUAAAACUCUGUUAUUAGGGAAGAACAAAUGUGUAAGUAACUAUGCACGUCUUGACGGUACCUAAUCAGAAAGCCACGGCUAACUACGUG